rnacentral:rRNA from 1 species
CCUGAGAAACCCAAAAGAUCGAAUGGGGAGAUUCAUCGUCAGCGAUCCUGGCACGUGUGCUGGUUCGUGAUGCCACUGGGACUUCGGUCACGAGGUACACGUCCGUGUGGGUUUUUGCCUGGUGUCGUCGGCGUGCACUUCUCCCCUAGUAGGACGUCGCGACCCGUUGGGUGUCGGUCUACGGGCCGGGUGGACGCCUGUCAUGCGUACGACGCUUCGCGGCGUCAUGUGGCUGACAGACCCCCGGUUGUCUGACCAGCUGCCCGGCGGUACUCGCACGGUAUCGAGCCGCAAUACUUGAACUGCGUCCGGCCCGCCGCAAGCGAGGCCAGUGCUUCCCGGAUGURCGGACCUAGCGCCGUCGUCGGGCCUGGCCAGCUGUUGGUUGGYGGUGUCCUGGGACUGGCUGUGUAUGAAUACCNNNNNNNNNNNNUACUGCUUUGGG